AUGAAGCCUUGCAGGAAGAAUGUGCCAGAAAGGCUCUGCGCCGCCUCGCCACCUGCCUCUCCUUCAGAGACUGCUCUCGCUCCUGGCUCACCAGGCCCUUCGGGGUUCUGGCUCUGUGUGGACAAACCUCUCCAGCUUGACCCCCGGGCACAGAUCCGACGUCCUCCUGCAUCGCCCACACAGCACGGCCACAGCGGAGAACCUCCCGCGCUCGCCUGCCCCGGGGACCCAGGAGUUACACACGCAGGGCGUCAAAAGAUGGCAAUGGUUCAGCUGACACAUGGGGGCUGCCCUGAGCCCUGGGGAGCGGGACCUCCCUGUGCCUGCCACCCUCGCCCCUCCAGCCCCGGCCGCCCACGGCGCAGCAGGUGCAGGGACGUCUCCAGAAGGUGGCAAAACUUCCAUGUCCAGAUGGGAAGCAGACGGUAGGAGCAGGAUAGGACCGUACAGGAGCUCCCCUCCCCCCGUGGAGCCAGUGUUGGAAGACCAGUGCUGGGACCUGCAAGCUGUCCACCUCUCAAGGCAUUUCAUCAGUGCUCUCCCCAGAGUCCACCCUAGCGCCCCAAGAGCUGGGGUGCCCCCCCACCCCACACAGAACAGGGUGGGGUCCCGGAGCAGCCCCUGA
rnacentral:lncRNA from 12 species